GCAAGAAAGAAUUUCAGUUUCAGUUUCGCUCUCCUUUUGCUUCUCUCUCGUUCUUCUCGCUCAAUACCCUAAUUUUUGGAUUUCUGUAAGAUCCCCAAAUUAAUCAAUCAAUGCCAGGCAAGCGCUCUCGCUUAACUCAUACGCAGAGCUUCAGCGACAUUGGUUUCAGCAACCACCGACUUCCGCCGUGGGAUGCUGGUUUCGUUGCUGAUGACACGGACGAUCAGUCUCUCCAGAGGAUUAUCACGGUCUCGCCUCCUCAGCCGCUGCUGCCAGAGAAAGAGAAGGAUAUAGGAGGUGGAUUAGUGAAGACUGAGCAUUUUCUUGAUAGGUGUGGCUAUUGCAAGAAGAGAUUGAAUAAAAAACAGGAUGUCUAUAUGUACGGUUACUUGGGUGCCUUUUGUAGUCCUGAGUGCCGUGAUGCACAGAUUGCAAUUGAUAAGGCAGGGCAGGAAGUUCGUGGACAAUCAAUCGGAACAAAGACUUGAAGCAUCGGGACGAAUAAAUUGUAUCUAGCUAGAUAGUGCCAUGGCGAACUAGAUUUGGUGGUGCAUUGCUGUCAAGUUUUUCGGAUUGGCUUGCACCUGUGACUAGAGUUGGCAUCCUUAAUUUGCACUCACACUCCCAUGACUAACAUAUCAUUGGGCAAAGUUUCACCUGUUUGUUUUAGGAUCGAAAACUUUUUUCUUUCAUGAUAGGUUGAAUAUGGAUAUUGCAUUUUCCUGUUUUCAUUGGAAAAUGUGAUUUUAUGAAUUUCUUGAUAUUUCAAGCUUAGAAUUAGUCAUGCAUAUAUGAUGAAUUGGUUUUGUUACAGAAUCGGAAACCUUAUAUCCUUUCAUGCAGUUUAUGUUCGCUCUCAAUGAUUUCAAAUUUUCAACAUUGAGAUGGCUAUUAUAUCGCGAGCUUGCCUUUUGCUAUUGCUUCCUUGACUAUAUAUCUAACUGUUCAUGCUUCAAUUUAUUUGAUUUCAAGCAUCUUAUGAAGUUUAGUUGCUGGAUAUGCUAACAUUUGAUUGAUCACAAAAAAAUAUAUAUGAAAAUGUCAUCAUCUUCACAUGUAUCGUGUGUGUUCUCCAUCUUAUUGAUCGUUUCCCCCCAUUUUUUCCCAUAUGAAACUUUUCAUACAUGGAUUAGGCUCACAUGGUCAGGAAGAAAUUGGAUCAGCCGGAAUAUUCACGACUGCAACUUGAUUUGAAUCCGGGCCACUCUAAGUUUGAAUCCUUGUGUUUUUUCCUUCGUUAAUUUCAAACAGGUUUUGAUUUCUUAUUAAUUGUUUUCCCCCAUUUUUUCCUAUAUGAAACUUUUCAGUCAUGGAUUAGGCUCACAGGGUCAAGAAGAACCUGGAUUAGCCGGACUAUUCACGACGGCAACUUGAUUUGAAUCUGGGCCACUCUUAAGUUUGAAGAAUUCUUGAUUUCUUGUGUUUUUUCCUUCAUUUCAAACAGGUUUGAACUCUUUAUUUCUCGAUUUUUUUUCGAGCUGAAAAAUAAAACAUACGGGCUAUGUUUGAAUGGGCCUUUUGGAGCAUCACUAGUCGAUUACUUUACCCAGUCAGCGGGCUAGAGGACUAUGCGAGGUGAGAUUUUGAAAUCGAUCAGGCCCAUUGGGUAGAAAUUUUUCUUUGCCCACUGCUCUUACCCAAACGGCCCAUUAGUUGUAUUUCCUCUCACUGUUCCGCAUUCGAAUUCCACUUUGGAGCAACUUUUUCCAGUGUAAACUGCUAGUGAAUCGAGUUUAUAUUCACAGGUGCUUUUAUUAGUUUCUCUUUUACUCAUCUACGUCAAAUACCUGCAAUUAAAAAGUUUGCUCGUUUUUCUUUUUCUGUGUUUGUUGUUUUCUCCCAAGUGCGUGGUAAGAAAUGCCAGUUCCGUUAAUAUUGAAGAGGCUAAGCCCACAAUAAUGUUAAUCCGAUCUUUUCAAGUUCAUCCUUAGUUAAUCUUUCUGCUGUAUCGAAAAACCGUGGUUAGCACAAAGUUCCUAUGGAUACUGUUCUUGUCGAUUCCGUUAUUACUCUUUAUCUUGUUCAGCCUUAAUCUGGUCUUUAAUUAACAAAAACUAAAUCAUGCGGGGAACACUAUAGCUGCUAUCACGGAAUACAAUGGAUUGCUACUACAGUGUUUCGCACAAUUAAUUAGGCUGGCAACAAUUGCAAGAGAGGUAUUUGUGAUUAGAAAGACUUGAAAAAGAAGAAGACAAUGAUCUCUCAAUUGCAAAAGAAUGAAAUUUUACAACUGCAGAAUAUUAUAGUUUCAGAGGCAAAAUUUACUUGCCGUACAAAAUCCAAAACACCAAACCCGCUAACCCUAGAGAAGUCAAUCAGCUUAAGCCUAAAGCCCAUGAAAACCCCACAAAUACAUCGCUGAUAAAACCCCAGAUACCCAAGCAACCAACACAAACACCAAAGACCUCGCUGAAACCAGCGCAAAGCGAUGGAGCUCGAGAUCUGAAAGCGACGACAAAAAAGCAAAGUGAACCGGUGACAAAAAAUCAAAGUGAACUAGAAUGGUGGCGUGUUGAAGAGGGUUAAACCCUUGCAUCACAGUGAGAGCCAUAGAGAAGUCGAGCUGGAAGGAAAGGAAGAAAGAUUCUUAUAUAUAUAUAUAUCUCGAAAAGAAAAGUAGUAACAGUGGCUUUUAAAUGAUUUUUCCCACUUGAAUUUGAGGUUUAUGGUCUGUUGUUGAUGAUUUCUUUUGUUUUGCUGAUUCUCGGUACUUUAUAUUGUUUAUGUUUUGUUCUUAGGUUCUUGGGUUUUGUUUCGAGAAGGGCUACUGGGCUUGGUUUGUUGGCUGUCAGAUUGUGGAGUGCUGCCCUGACGUAUGCGGUGAGUCUCCCUCCCGAAUAAGCUGAUUAAUAGGAUAACCAAGUUGCUUCUUCUAGCUGCGAAGCAUCUGAACCACUGCGAAAAAAACAAUGGUCUUCUGCGUCAACCCACGCUGUAGGACAUAUAGCUAUGUAGCCAUAUGAAUGUACUUUUUGUGAUGCCACAUACUUUUUUCCUUCCUUCGACAACAUUCUACUUAACUCUCUUGCCAUACGCUGCUAUAUUUAGCUCUUUUGGAUUUAUCGAACAUCUUUUUGUUAUGAAUUCCUCGAACAACAACCAUGUUCAGUAAAUGUAGCCUUUUGUUUUCUUAUGCACUUAAUAUUCAAGUUUUGAUGACGCAUGACCAUCUCUUUCAUCUGCCUUUGCAAUUGCUCAACCACAACAUUCAUUUCCUUACAAUACAGUACCGUAAUCUUGC